rnacentral:rRNA from 1 species
UGGAGCUUUAAACCCAAUUAUAUUCCUAGCCACUAUAACCAUUCAAUCUCUUAGGCCCUAUAUACUUGGUUUUAGGUUGGGGCGACCACGGAGUAAAACCAAACCUCCAUGAUGUACGGAACAACCUCCUCAUCUAAGAGCUACAGCUCUAAGAAUUAGCACACUAUCAUAAAAUGACCCAUUAUUGAUCAACGAACCAAGUUACCCUGGGGAUAACAGCGCAAUCCAUUUUAAGAGCCCCUAUCGACAAAU